rnacentral:lncRNA from 1 species
GAUGGAGAGUGUGUAGCCAAAUUGGAGGAGGAUUUUUGGGAUUGGGGUUGUUGCCGAUUUGGUGAGAGUUAGAAUUCAGGUUUUAUUCCUUUUCUUUCAACCUUGGCCGAAUACAGCUUCUCUCCUCCCUCACCGAUUUUUUCUUUUCGAUUUUCUCCCUAGUUGAUUCUCCUUUUUUUUCUUUUUUUAAGCUCUGCCGAAUAGCUCUCGGCUUUAGCAAGGGUUCGUUGAUCAAUU